GAUGAACGCUGGCGGCGUGCCUAAUACAUGCAAGUCGAGCGGUAAGGCUCCUUCGGGAGUACACGAGCGGCGGACGGCUGAGUAACGCGUAGGAACGUACCCCAAACUGAGGGAUAACUGCUCGAAAGAGUAGCUAAUACCGCAUGUGCUCUACGGAGUAAAGCUACGGCGGUUUGGGAACGGCCUGCGUACGAUUAGAUUGUUGGUGAGGUAAUGGCUCACCAAGUCGACGAUCGUUAGCUGGUCUGAGAGGAUGAUCAGCCAGACUGGGACUGAGAACGGCCCAGACUCCUACGGGAGGCAGCAGUAGGGAAUUUUCCACAAUGGACGAAAGUCUGAUGGAGCAACGCCGCGUGCAGGAUGAAUGCCUUCGGGUUGUAAACUGCUUUUAUCUGUGACGAAUAUGACGGUAGCAGAUGAAUAAGGAUCGGCUAACUCCGUG
rnacentral:rRNA from 1 species